rnacentral:rRNA from 1 species
AGAGUUUGAUCAUGGCUCAGAUUGAACGCUGGCGGCAGGCUUAACACAUGCAAGUCGAGCGGGGAAGGUUGCUUCGGUAACUAACCUAGCGGCGGACGGGUGAGUAAUGCUUAGGAAUCUGCCUAUUAGUGGGGGACAACAUUCCGAAAGGAAUGCUAAUACCGCAUACGCCCUACGGGGGAAAGCAGGGGAUCUUCGGACCUUGCGCUAAUAGAUGAGCCUAAGUCGGAUUAGCUAGUUGGUGGGGUAAAGGCCUACCAAGGCGACGAUCUGUAGCGGGUCUGAGAGGAUGAUCCGCCACACUGGGACUGAGACACGGCCCAGACUCCUACGGGAGGCAGCAGUGGGGAAUAUUGGACAAUGGGCGGAAGCCUGAUCCAGCCAUGCCGCGUGUGUGAAGAAGGCCUUUUGGUUGUAAAGCACUUUAAGCGAGGAGGAGGCUCCUUUAGUUAAUACCUAAAGAGAGUGGACGUUACUCGCAGAAUAAGCACCGGCUAACUCUGUGCCAGCAGCCGCGGUAAUACAGAGGGUGCGAGCGUUAAUCGGAUUUACUGGGCGUAAAGCGUGCGUAGGCGGCUUUUUAAGUCGGAUGUGAAAUCCCUGAGCUUAACUUAGGAAUUGCAUUCGAUACUGGAAAGCUAGAGUAUGGGAGAGGAUGGUAGAAUUCCAGGUGUAGCGGUGAAAUGCGUAGAGAUCUGGAGGAAUACCGAUGGCGAAGGCAGCCAUCUGGCCUAAUACUGACGCUGAGGUACGAAAGCAUGGGGAGCAAACAGGAUUAGAUACCCUGGUAGUCC